UACGUAGGGCGCAAGCGUUGUCCGGAAUUAUUGGGCGUAAAGAGCUCGUAGGCGGCCUGUCGCGUCCGCUGUGAAAUCCCGGGGCUUAACCCCGAGCCUGCUUCUGAUACGGGCAGACUAGAGGUAUGCAGGGGAGAACGGAAUUCCUGGUGUAGCGGUGAAAUGCGCAGAUAUCAGGAGGAACACCGAUGGCGAAGGCAGCUUGCUGGGACGUGACUGACGCUGAGACGCGAAAGCGUGGGGAGCAAACAGG
rnacentral:rRNA from 1 species